AAGAUCACACCACUGCACUCCAGCCUGGGUGACAGAGAGAGACUCUGUCUCAGAAAAAAAAAAAAGAAGUAGGGCAGCUAGCUCCAGGGUUGGUUAAUUCAGUGGCUCAAUGACAUCAUCCAAGGUCAAGUUCUUUUCUGCCUUCUUUAGAGUGUGGGACAAAAUACUCAACAUUAUUUCUUCAGGGUCACUGAAUGGCUGCUGGAGUCGGCUCCCACAACAGCAUCUAAACCUAGAAGAGAGACUUCUGCUUCUCAGCCUCCUUUUAAAGAGAGAAGAAGCCUUUCUCAGAAUUCUCCCAGGACAUUUUUCAUUGUCCAGGACUGUGUUGGUUCAUACGAGCCAAUGGGGUUGGGAGGAAGCCUGUUGGGUGGAUGAGAGCAUCCUGGAAUCCAGGAUGACCUAGUCUGGAGCUAAGGAGACGUGGCUUGGAAUCUGAUAUGGUUUGGAUCUGUGUCCCCACCAAAUCUCAUGUCGAAUUGUAAUCACCAGUGUUGGAGGUGGGGCCUGAUGGGAGGUGAUUGGAUCCUGGAGGUUAAUUUCUUAUGAAUGGUUCAGAACCAUCUCCUUGGUGCUGUUCUCGUGAUAGUGAGUUCUCAUGAGAUUUGGUUGUUUAAAAGUGUGUAGCACCUUCCUGCACCUUGCUCCUGUUCCUGCCGUGUUCACACCUCCUCACUCCCCCUUUGCCUUUUGCCAUGAUUGGAAGCUUCCUGAGGCCUCCCCAGAAGCAGAAGCUGCUAUGUUUCCUGUACAGCCUGCAGAACCAUGAGCCAAUUAACCUCUAUUCUUUAUAAACUACCCAGUUUCAGAUAUUUCUUUGUAGCAAUGUGAAAACAGAUUAACACAGAAUCUCAGUUUUGAAGUCAAUUGGCUGUGUGACCUUAGGUAAGUCUCUUUCCCUCACUGGGUCCUAAGCCCCCAAUCUGAAAAACUAGAGGGUUGGAUUAAAUGGUCUGAAGGAUUGUUUUUCCAUGUGUAAGCUUCUAGGAUUCUAAAUGAGCCAUUGCUAGGGUGGGAGUUGGACAUGUUGUUCACCACAUUUUUGUCUUUCUGCCUUCUGGGCACGUGAAGCUUGCAUUUCCUGGCUGUCUUGCAGGUAGGUGGGGUUACGGUAUAGUUCUGGCCAAUGAGUUGAGCACAUGUUCCUGUCCAGGCUGGAGCAUUUGAUUCCAGGUUUGAGACUACAGAUUUCUCUUUCCCUCUGGCUAUGGCUAAUAUUUGAGAUGGUGACUGUGCCCUGUCAACCUGAGGCCCUGAGUGACAGUAAUGAGAGCCUCCCUUUUCCAUGCCAACCCAAUAGGCAUGCAACACAAGCAUGAAAUAAACGUAGGACGAUUUGGGGGUUACUUGUUACAGCAGCAGGAUGGAUCCUAUCCUGAGUGAUACAGUUAUGCUACUAACCAUGUAGCUGACACAAAAGGGGAAUUGACUCUGUGCUCGGCUGGGUGAAGCCCUUCACUUGCUUCUAUUUACCCCUCACAGCAGCCUUGUAGAAUGGGUGCAGUUAGCACCCCUAUUUCAAAAAUGAAGCAACAGAGGGGGAAGGCCAGCAGCUCAAGGUCACACAGCAGGGGAAGAGCAGAGCCAAGGAUUCAAACUCCAGUGAGUCUGACUCUGAAUCAUGAUGAAGCCAUAUCCUGCCUUGAUAACUUGGCAGAGGUUUUGUUCCAGGCUAAAGAAUGAACGAAGAGCUUGAAGAGCUGUGCCUGUGAGCAUGUGUAUGCAUGCAUGUGUGUGUGUGUGUGUGUGUGUGUGUGUGUGUGUGUGUGUGUGUGUGUGUUUAGCUGACUACCACACUUCACUUCAGAGUGAGAGAGGCCUUGGUGGGGGAGAAGGAGGGGCAUUCCCAGUCAGAAGAGAUUCCCAUCCUGCCCCAUCUUUCUCCCUGCAGACACCUCCUCCCCUCCCUGCAGCUUCCUCUGCCCCAAGCUCCCUGCAGGCCCUGAGCCAUCUCUGCCUUCUAUGAGACCUAAUUAAGCCCUGGUGAGGAGGUCGGAAGCAUCAGUUCCUGGCAGGCAGCUCCCUGGAGUGGGGAUAAUGGUGGGUGGCGCAUCCAUGGAUCCUGAGUAGGGUAGCAGAGAUGUCUACUAUAAUCAUAGUGACCAUAACAUCACCCUGCUAGCCUUAGGAAGAGCUGUAACAGUGGCUGCCAUUGUUACGUUUAUCCCCCCACUAGCCUGGCUCAGGGUUGCAAUAAGCAUUUAUGAAGCAUUCCCAGUUGACCAUUAGGAUCUUACUGGAGACAGAAUCCUUUCCUCUCUGCUCCAUCCUCAUCCACUCAUCUCAGUGGGAGUGUUUGAGGGGGGUGCCCCAGCUGGAAGAGCCCCAGACUUGGCCUUCAGUUCAACUCAUUGCCCUGCUUUACAGAAUAGGAGACUGAGGCCUCGGCAGGCCAAGUUCAAGGCUGGCCAGUGGUGGAGCUGGAACCAGAGGAUGUGGUGCAGGGAGGCGAACCCGGGUCCCUCUCCGGGCCCUUUGGGACUGUGGGUCAGUGGAGAUGGGGAGGCUGAGGCUGGAGAGGGCCAGCUCUCCCCAGGGGUCACUCAGGGGCUAUGGCUGGCCCUGGGCUACCAGAGGGUACGGGGUCGUGGAGGGCCAUGGUCCUGCUGAUGAGGCAGCCUUGGUGAGGGGCCAUGGAGCUGAACCCCGAGGCUCUGACUCCCCAACCUGCUUCUGGCAGCCGCCGCCUCAGGGAAAGCAGCCUUAUUAGUGCAGCCGCCUGCAUGGCCGUGGGUGCAGCCAGGGGCGGAAAAGGCCUUAUUUACCCCAGUGCUGGACCCUGUGAGCAGUGGCCACACACACUGCAAGGGGAGCUCGCAGAGCCACAUGUAUGUCUCGGGCCCUGGGUCGACAGAGUGUGCUUAGACAGGCUUGCAUGCUCAGGUAAGCCGGUUGGCCAGGCUUGUAUGCUCAGGUAAGCCGGUGUAUACAGAGACACACACAGGUGUGUGGUGACACACAACUGCAUGGACGUUCCCACAUCCACACAGCACGGGGCACACACAUAUGCAUCUGGGUGUGCAAACACAAGUUCAGACAUGCAUGCACGUGUGUUCCCCUCCUCCACUCACGUCCACACUCAUCUCUCUGCACACAGAGUCACACAACAGGUGCCCACGUACUCAGGAACAUAGAAAUCCACAGAAGCACAAAUAUAGACUUCACAUGCAUGUAUAAGCUCCUGCCUGUUCACCCAGACACAGGCUGGUAAACGUGUACACUGAGAAGACACACACAUGGGCAGGUCUCCAAAUACUACCCCUGCAGCCAGGAGCACACACACCCUGAACACACGCACAUAUUCCCUUGCCCUUUCCAUGGACAAGCACUCCCGAAAAGUAAUCAUUGACAUCGGCACACCGGUGCACACGGUGUGUGGACUCAUCUGUCUCUCUGUCUGUGCUAAGUUCUACUCAUCUUCCUGAGGAACAGCACUUGAUACAUUUUUACGGCACUGUCGCUGAACCCAAACCUCAUUUGAUUCCCCCAGCCUUCCCUGGGCCAGACUUUAUGUAUCUCCGUCUUACAGAUGAUGAGAAAACUGAGCUUCAGAUGGAGCAGGGGACUCCCCAAGACACCCCGAUAGACACAGAUGGCAUGGGCAGUCACAGUCAGAUGUCCUGACUGCAUCCCAGCAGGGGUAGGGUUGUGGGAAAUGGCACACAGGCCUAGGUUUGAAUCCCACUCUGCUGCUUACAGCUGGGCUGGGUGACCUUGGGCAGGUCUCUUUACCUCUCAGAGCCUUGGUCCUCCCGCAUCGAGACACGCAAACACCCACCGCCACUUGGUGGCGUUGUGCGGAAGGUGAAGGGAGAACAAUGCAGAGGACAGGCUCAGAGCAGGGCAUCCUGGAAGGAGUCAGCAGAUUCACCCAUCUUUAUUCUUAUUUCCAUAUUAUUAUUAUUAUUCACAUAGACCAUGUGAUGACAUAGACCAUCAACAGGUCAAGGACGGAGGCCUGUGACAGAUCCUUCUCCGACAGCCCCCCAAGGGAACCAAGUCUGCUGACACCUUGUUCAGGGACCUCUGGCCUCCAGAACUUCAAGACAACAAAUUCCUAUCACUUAACCACCCAGUAUAUUUUGUAUGGCAGCCCUAGCACACUAAUAGAGAUUUUGGUCUAUGACAUUUUUCUCUAUAGCAAAUCCAGUGGGUUACCAGCAAGGUCCAACUAUUUAUCACCCCUCACCCCGGGGCCUGGUGGGUCUCAGGUGAGGGGAGCCUGGCCUUUCUGGGAAGAACAGGACCUGCACCUGCCCGCGAGGAGUCCUGGGGAGCCGGGAUUCCCCAAGCACAGAGCACUGGCGUUGCCGCUGCGGAGACAGCCAGGCCCAUUCUAACAGUGACUUAGGGCUGAUGUAACAACCCUCGUAUUCUUUUAGUGUGGCCUGAAAGGUGCUAUUAAACGGAAUAUUGAGAUAAGGAAGUGGGAGUCGGGAAAGGUUAGAAACUAUUUAUUCAGAUUUUCAUAGGGCACUAAAAUAUCCUCACCCGCUGCUGCUCACGGCCCCUCCCUCCUCCCCAGCCUGGGCUCCCAGCACACAGGAAGCUCUGGGCUGUCACGCUGCCUCUCUGGCUGGCCGACCUCCUGUGGCAGCCUGGACCUGCGAAGAGCCUGGGUUCUGGGCGGGAGGGGAUCUGGGACCGAAUCUUACCCUGGCUUGCCGACCUGCACAUUAACCGAGCUUUGGAGCUUGGGGAAUGGUGGGGAACCAAGGACAGGGUGGGACGGUGCAGGGUGCAUAGCAAGGGGCAAGGAGGACCAGUGCCCCUCCUCUCUCCCCAGAGCCCCCCCCAGGCAGGAGUGGGAGGUUCACAGUGUUGUCUUCCCACUGCACGCCCCUUACAGCCCCCCAGCUCCUCCCUCUCCCAAAGUCAGAAUCCCAGGCUCACGGCUCUGCUGGCAUACCUCUGAUGGGAACCUGAUUACCUCCUGCAGAUUUUCUCUCCCUUCUCCUCGGUCCCUCAGGGAUCCUUCUGGAGGUAGAAGUCAACCCGUCUAACCAGCCUCCUCAAGAGGACCCCCAAAAUCUGGCAUUUAAAAUCCAGGGGAAAUCUCCCUCUUUCCUCCGCUGGAGAUCCUUGCGGGAGAAUGAUGUCCAGGGAGGUAGAUGGACUGUCAGCCCCACGAGGCAGGGUCUGUUGGUUUUACGCAUUGCUGCUUCCCCAGCUCUUAGCAGAAGGCCUGGUGCAUGGUGGGGCCACCAGAAGUGUUUGUGGCAGGCAGGAGCAGUGGAGAAAAACUAGGAUUUGGCAUGACACAGCUCUUGGUUCAAGACUGGUUCCUGUAACCUCCCUGAACCAGAGUGGUUUCAUCUGCACAGUGAGGACUCGAUGAGGCCGUGUAUGUAGAACUCUCUGCAUACGGUGGGCACAGAUAAAGGCUGGUGUUCUUCCUCCCCUAUGUCAGCCUCUCUCUUUUCUCCUUGGCAGCCCCGGAGAGCAGGUGGGUAUCUGUGGAUGGAUACACUUCCCUGGUCAUGGUUGGAAGUUCUGGGUGAUUGGGGAGGAUUGGCUGAAGGUGUGAUUCUAGGUGAUUCUGGAGGCAGUCACACACACUCUGGGACAUGCAGCCGGAUCUGCUGUGGGUGAGAUAAGGAACCUGCCAGUUGGUUCUAACAGCAGCACAGAGGGGCAGAGGAGAACAUUUCAGGACAGGGCAAGCACCUGUGCAAGGGCCCUGGGGCUAGUGGAAGCAGCUUCCUGAGGCCUCACCGGAAGCUGAUACUGAUGCCAUGCUUCCUGCACCAUCUGCAGAACUGCACUAGAGCUGACCAUGUCCCAGGACUAUGUGGUUUGCAAGUACUAAUCCAUUUCAUCCUCAAGAAAAUGUCUAAGGUUUCAUGCCCAUUCUACAGAUGAGGAAACUGAGGCACGAAGAGCUUAAGAAAUGGGUCAUACCUUACACAGCUAGUUCACAGGCAGGUCUGGGAUUCAACCCCUCAGGGCUGUUUGGCUCCAGACUACACUCUUCAACACCAUGUCAGACCAUUUGAAUCCCCAGUUUACAGAUGAAGAAAUUGAGGCUCAGAGAGGUGAAGUGACUUGCCUAAAGUCACACAGCUACAAAGAGGUGAGUCUGCCUGAUUCCUGAACCCAAGCUCUUGACUCCAAUCUCAGUGAGGUGACCACUGGAAGCUUUGCAUUCUCCUCUUUCGACCCUCUCAGGAGGUGGGGCCUAUGAGUAGUGGUCUUGGGGUUCACCUGUCAUUGAGAGACAUCUGUCCUCUGCUGAAGGAUUAAGUCUUCAGAGUAGAUGAGAAGAAGGACAACCCCACAGGACCCUUAGGGGACAGUAGGGAGAUGGGCUGCCACCCUCUUGGGGUGGUAUUUUCUCUUUCUAAUGAUUUUUGACAGCUCUGACUGGUUUGGGUGAAGACAGGUUAAGUGCCUUCAUACCUGUGCAUUUUUUCCAGCUACACAGGGAGAGGCAGGCUGUGUUGAGUGUGUGAAUGGUGCCAUCAGACACAGCAUUCCUGCUGGGGUGCUCCCACCCAUCCACACUGCUCCCCGCCACCCCGGCUUACAACAGAACUUUGAAUCUAGUCUCUGUGCAAUUUCCCCCCGGCUUCUCUGGCUGAUCAAGUUGAAAUGAAAUUAGGGAACAUCUACCUUGAUAAAGGAAGGUAGGGAAGAGGAUAGAGGAGGUGAGUGAAGGCAGAAGGAACAACAAGUAACAUUUACAGUCGCUGUUUAUUAUUGGUAUUUACUGGGAACCAGGCACAUAUAUUAUCUCGUUAAUCCUUAUAUCCACCCUGAAAAGAAGGGGUUACUGUUAGCUCCAUUUUACAGAUGAAGAGACUGAGGGUCAGAGAGGCAGUCACCUGUUGACGGUCAUCCAGUUAGGGCAUUCCCAGGCUGCGAUUUCAGAGCAUCCUUCUGCGCAUCCAAACUCCUAUUUACUGGGGACGUACCAGGUGUCCAGAACUUGGGAGGUUUGAGAAUCUGUGAGUCAUGAAACAGGCAGACCAGAGCUGGCCACAUUGGCUGAGGGGAGGAAGGGUGGGAAGACAUAUCCAGAGAUACCUAUGGGCAAGUAAAGGAUUUCAAGCCACUGUGCUGAGUAUCUGUAUUAAUUCAGUCAAUCCACACACCCACCUGUGAGUUAGAAGCUAUUAGCACGCCCAUUUUACAGAUAAGAAAACUGAAGCCCCAUGAAGAGAAAGGAUCCUACUGCUAGUAAGAGAAAAGCUAGGAUUCAAAGCCCGUGAUUUUAAAACUGUACUGAGGCUGGGCACGCUGACUCAUGCCUGUAAUCCCAGCACGUUGGGAGGCCGAGAUGGGUGGAUCACCUGAGAUCAGGAGUUCCA
rnacentral:lncRNA from 1 species